ensembl:lncRNA
UCCCAGUGCAGUCAAGUUGGGAAGUGCAGUGUAAUUGGAAGUGUUUGAGUCACCAGGGAGGGAACACUGAUUCAUGCAGCUCUAAGGGGCCACAGCACUGGGCUCUCUUUCUUUCACUUUAUUGCUAUAUGAAGAAUAGCAUUUUUCAUCUCUGGAGGAUACAAUAUUCCAGGCUCCAGUGUUAAAGCCAAUACUUGACCCUUAGCAAACCUGCAUAUAUCUUGGUCUUGAACUAUUACACAUUUUUAUUGUUUGUAAAUUUCCCAGAAUGUGGUGUUCUGUUAUAGCAGGAGCAAAUGGCUAAGACAAGUGUCAAACAACUUGAGUAAGUCCUUCACCUUCCCUUCUGAGGAUGUUUUCUCAUCUGGAAUUGGCAUAAGUGGGUCUACCUCAGAGGCUCGAUAGGAAGGCUAAACAAUUUAUCAAAUUCUAGAUGUGGUUUCUAGCACAAAGCCAGGGCUCAAGAAAUAUUCAUCCUCCUCCUCUUCUCCUUUCCUAUAAGGUUUUCACAAUCUAAAAGUUUUUCUCCAGUUGCUUCUUGAGUAUUUUCCGAAAUACAGCUCUCCUCAUAAUUGACGGGUGCCACACCAAGAAUCCCAGUUCCCAGUCGGCCAUGGAAUCCCCACAGUGAAAAACUCAUGCCUUGCAGUGGACAGUGAUGGACAGUCUAAUGUGAUACCUGUUGGCUAGAAAAGGGUGCCAGAGUCACUUGUGAUGCCAGGGAUGGAGCUUGCUUUAGGAAAUGGGGCAGCCAAGGCCUUGGGAGUUCCACAUUUUGCUUCCUCCAUCUCUCAACCCAGUGAAAGGAAGCCCAAGCCACACACCAGGUGGAAGUGUACGGAGACAGGUCCAUGCUCACUUGCUAUUAUAAAUCAGGGUGAUCCCAAGGAAGAAAACCAGGCUGUGUUCUGCAUGUUCUUGAUAUAGAAUGGGCCAAAUGCUAUACACGUAAGUGUGUGAACACUAAAGAGUUCAUUUUUGUCAAGAAGAAUGUUCCAGCUGUAAUCAAGGCAGAGAUUCUGAAUUGGGGGAGAAAAAGGAGGUCGCCAGGGAGCCCAGAUAUGGGCCAAUCUAGGAGGGGGGCUUUUUAGGGGUUAAUGUCAGCCAAGAUCCCCAAGGAGAUUCAUUACAUGCUCCAGCCCAAGAGAAGGGGGAAGGGUCUGCUCUGUGCAAAGUUUGAGUUGUCACGGAAGUCCCCAAACAGUGGUCACUGCCAGUGAAUCUGAGAUUCUGACUUCAGGUCACUUUUGCAUAUCUGGUCUUGCCAGCUUGGAUCCCUCAACUGUGCCUAAUGGUUUUUAGGGUUAAAUAAUGAACACACCCCAAGACUAUCCCCUUAAUAUUUGAGCAAUCAAAUCUGGACACAACUCUCGGACAAUAGUAGAAACCUCUACCCCUCAGCAAAUGUAUGAUAUUAAAAACAAAUUCUGCCAUUUGCUGUAGCUUAUGCCUGUCUCAAAUGUGCAGAAAUUAACUUGUUUCCCCUGUGCAUGAUGAUGUCAAAGCCUAUCUGGAAAGAUUAGGCUAGCUGAAAUUGAGGUUUCUUGAGGUCUCUUCCAUCUCUAGACUCUAUGAAUUUGAGAUACUUCUAAAUAUAUGCACCAAAAUUAGUUUUUAGAAAAAUAAAUUUUGCUCACAAAAUUAUUAUUGGGAGUUAUCAAGAUAGCACAGUGGAUGCCACCAAGACUGACAACUCAAGUUUGAAAUCCCAACCCAUAGCAGAAGGAGAGAAGUGACCCAGAAAGUUGUCCUCUGACCUCUACAUAUGCAUGGCACAUACACAUGACAUGUGCAAGCAUGCACACGAGUGUGCAUGAACACACACACACACACACACACACACACACACACACACACACACACACACACACAGAGUCUCUCUCUUUCCUCUUCCUCCUAAAGAAUUGUUUUUGUUUUUGUUUUCUGAGAAAGGGUUUCUCUGUAUAGCCCAGGCUAACCUUGAACUCACCUGCCUCUGCCUCCCAAGUGCUGGGAUUAAAGGUGUGCACCACCACUGCCUGGCUAAAAUAAAGAAACCUUUAAAAAAUUAAAAAAAUGAAACAACAAAAUUACUAAUGACUGAACCAGGACCAGGACCAGAGCUCUGGUAUUGGAAAGACUUUUCUAAUUAAAUUUUAGACAGAAACUCUCUUUUCUAUUAAGUACAGAAUAAAAUUGGUAAGAUUUGCCAUUGAAUGUUAGUGUUUUCAGACAGAGCAAAUACAUUUAAAUAGAAAUAUGUGACCCAUCAUUUAUAAAAAGUAGAUGCAGUAAAAGGAAGAAGGCUAGCCUCAGCCUCCAUCCGAAUGCAUCACCCAGCCGUGGCUGAGCACCCAGGACAGCCCAAGGCUCUCCCCUACUGGACAGUGUCUCUGCUUCACUGCUGUCUUUCCCCAGUUUUCUGCACACCGUGGCACAUUGUCCGAAGUUUCAUGUGUCACCACACUACUUCCUUCUUCAGACUGAGCUCCUGCCUGUCUUCCUGACCACUGGAGCUCAUCUUUCCCAGGCCUCUUGUCUUGAGAGCACUUUUCCCUCUUGACCUCAUUGAUUUAUACUGCAACACGAGGUUAGUCCACACUUAUGUCUCUCGCCUACUGGACCUGAGCCUCUAGAAUAUGGAGCCAUUACUAAAGUCCAUUAACCUUCCACAAGGUAUUGAAUACCCAGGUAUGAAGUUUAAGUGAAUUGGAAAGGGGUGGCACCAUCUUCCCAUGCAGACAUGUACGGCAAUGCCACAGACUUCUUGGAUACUAUGUGGAAGUUGUGCAGUCAGUAUUUCUCGGCCUUGGCACCUUGACUUCUGGCCUAAAUAUUCUUGGCUGUUCUGUGCCUUGUAAGAUGUUUAAUAGCAUCUUUGACCUCUCCCCAAUAUAUGCCAAUAGCAACUUCUCCUUCCAAGACUCUAGCAGUAUCUACAAACUUUGCUAACAUCCCAGAGGGACAGACCUGCCCCUGCUGGAGAUCCACUGACAUAAGUAGCUCAUUUUUUUUUAAAUUAUUUAUUUAUUAUGUAUACAACAUUCUGCUUCCAGUUAUAUCUGCAUACCAGAAGAGGGCACCAGAUCUCAUAAGGGAUGGUUGUGAGCCUCCAUGUGGUUGCUAGGAAUUGAACUCAGGACCUCUGGAAGAACAGUCAGUGCUCUUAACCUCUGAGCCAUCUCUCCAGUCCCCAUAAGUAGCUCUUGAAGGAGCAUAAGAGGAAGUAACUGAGACUUUGCUCAGUAAAGGUUCCAUAAAAUUUCCACUUACAUCUAAUAUCAUAACAUUUUUAAUAUAAUGUAAAGUAGCAACUUAUACUUUCUGGACAAAUAUUUCACCCAAACAGGAUACCACAGUGCCUCUUUUCAAAUGCUGUAAGUUUGGAAGGGAGUGAGGGUAAAGGGAACAGGGUAAGUCUCACUCAAUUUGAAAUAAGAACAUCUUGUUUGGGAGGGUUUGGGAGGGCAACACCAAUAAGUGUCUGGGGUCAUACCAGGAAAACGGCAGGCAAAUAAAUGAAAAUGAAAAAGCUGCCACGAAAGAUAAUGUGCUUUAAAUAAACUAUGGUGUUGUGUACAUUUGAAUGAUAUUUAUUAUCUCAGAAAAACUUUUCCUGUAUUAUUUGAUCCACUUGAGGAACUUCGCCAUACUCUUCAAACCAAAAACUUCGGCUCUCACAGUUCUUCCUCAGGGCCUCGUUGCUGGUGAGCUGUAGAUGUGGGACUAGAGAUGGUGCUUUUACCCCCAAUAACUUCUAUGAUGGAGAAAGCCUUAUUUAAAUAUGUGACAACACAUUUGAGACCUCCAGGGGGGUCAUACAAUAGCAGCAGCUUUGGGCUUAAUGGAGCUAGGAUUUGGAGGAGGGUAGGACCCGAACCACUCAUGAAAGCACAUGGAACAUGCAUUCCUCCCAUUCUGUGAGCCCCAGUGCUGUGCCACCUCUGACACAGAUGUCUGUGGUAUAUAGGGAGGUAGUUUCCAGGAUCGUUACCCAGGUCUCCAUGGCUGGGACCAUCCAUCAGCCACCAAGCAUCCCACUGCCAGACAGAGCUGUGAUGAAACACAUUUGUUCAAACUCAGGAAAUGGUGUUUGAAAAACCAACACCGUUGCUUUUCUUUGAAGCUAUUACACUCUGUCAUGUCAGGGAGAUGAGCCCAAGAGAUGGCCAAGAGGCGAUGAUAGAUUCACAGCACAGGGCCUGGGGGAGUCAUGGGAUUGGUUGUUUUGGUUUUUUUUUUCCCUUGGUGAGGCAAUAAAAAAAUGAUUUUUGAGGCAGUGACUGGGACAUUAUGUAUUAAUGACUACAUAGGGAUUUUCAUUUCACAUAUCAUGUGCUGACAGUUGAAACUGGAGCUGUUAUGUAAAGCGUUAGCUCGAUGUCUUUCUGAGACAUUGUCACCGCAUCAUUCACGUGGUAGAACACGGAAGCCUUCAGAUCCACCAGAAAAGCUGAAUAAAGGGCUCUGGGUAGAUUUGUGUAGAACACUUUAGGUCAAGACAUUAGAAUGACUGUCAUAGCUGCUGAGAAAGCUUGCUUACAAUGCAGUAACCCAACAUGGCUGCACUCUCAUGGCUCGGUUGUCAACACAUUCAGAUUUGGGGAGACAGCUGGGGACUAUUGAUAAGAAAAUCAAAGAUUUGCAGCAACAGGCAGGUGGUUGUUUCCACAUAUGUCUCUCCGAUACCAGAAAAGGUAGCUUGCUUCAGACCUAGCUGGAGGUGAAGUGGGACUUUGUGAGUUGGUUUCAUGAGACAGGAGCUAUCAUCACGUGGGCAAGAAUGCCAAGAAUUCCAGUCUCUACUCUGACGCACAGGCUCUGUUGGAAGAAGUACUUCCCAUGUUGGCUUUGUUCUUCUAAAUACAAGUCCACAAAACAGGUGUCAAAAGGAGACUUGGAACCCAGUCAGGAGCCACUUCAGGCAGUCACUGACAGACACCUGAGUCCCCCUCCCCAGCCCCUGUUUUUCACAAUGACCUCAUAGCAUAGCUGGCAGAUGAGUUUAAAAAGGAGCCCUUAGGUUGGAGUUACGGUUAGGCCUCCAAGAGGGUCUGUGAAGCCUGACGUUUUCAUGAAGCACCUGUAUGUGUUUAUGUGCAUCCUCUUGAGGAGGGGCUAGGCCCUGCCCUCUACUGUAAUUUCAAAGAAUGUUGGCACCUUCUUUGGGUUAAGAGUCCAUGCUUGGGACGCUGUGAAGGUGAUGUGUAACUAAGUGUCCAGUGAAACCAUAGCCACUGAGCACUUUGGAAGCCAAAGGAACACAGGGGAGUACUUGCUGUAUGGGACACACAGAGAAAACAGAAAAUGUGACUGUUGGCUUUCUGCAGCACACAGAAGCUUUUGGACAUGGCAUUAAAUGAAUCAGUCGCUGAGAAAGAAAGGAUGGCAUAUCUGACUGGUGGGGAGACAUUAAACAGCUUGUAAAGGCAGGCAUUAGAAAUGGAUCACGGGUUGCAGUGAGGUUGGAAGCGGGUACAGACAGUGGAUGACCUGGCACAGGGAGAGCAAGGAAGGACAUUCAUGGAGAAGGGAAGGCCAGGUGCGGAGAACUUUCCUGGAUGGUCUAUGAGGCCCUCCCACCAGGGACAGAGGAUUACAAGGAAGCUGAGCUCAGAUAUUCAGUCAUGGUCCAACCCAAACGUACCUUUAUAUGUGCACAAUCUGGUCUUGGUCCCUCAGCCUUUGCUCUAAGGUGGAGACGAGGAACUCAGCUCGUGAAGCACUGUGGGUAGAAGGGAAUGACUUCCUGCGACUCACAUGUUUAGGCAGGAGGCUCUUCAUUCUUGUUGUGCGACUCACAUGUAAUCUCCUCCACUUUUAUCAUUGAAGUCCUUCAUGUUGACCUCAUGGGACCACACCCCAAAUUUAGUUACAGCAGGCUAGGCAAAGCAGUGGAAAGCAAGAAACAAAAACUGGAAAAUUGUGUUCAUUGUAGAACUUUACCAACACCUUUAUACUUCUGUGACAGUGAGUGUGUGAGUGUGUGAAUGUGUGUGACUGUGUGCAUGUGAGUAUGUGUGUGAGUGUGUGUGUGUGACUGUAGGUGUGAGACUGUGUGACUGUAUGAGUGUGUGUAUGUGAAUGAGUGUAUAUGUGUGUGAAUGAGUGUGUUUGUGACUGUGUGUGUGUAACUGUGUGUGACUAUGUGUGUGUGACUAUGUUAUGUGUAAGUGUGUGUGUAAGUGUAUGUGGGGAGAACUCCCUGAGGUUCUACCUAGACUCUGGCUCCCCUGGCUGACAAGGUUGCCCCUCUCUAGAUCAGCAUUCAAAUAAGUGCUGUCUCUUCAGAUAUAAUUUUCAGAAUUUGUGGUUCCUAGAUUUUAUACAGAUACACAAAUCAUGUUUAUGUAUAUUUAAUAUGAAAGUAGAAUCUAACUGUCCAGGGAAACAAAAAGGACUAAGGGGAGGCAGGAGUGCUGAGCAGAGGAGGGGAUGAUGGCAUGGGGAGAAUAAGCUCAUGUAAUCUAUCUGUCUGUCUGUCUGUCUGUCUAUCUAUCUAUCUAUCUAUCUAUCUAUCUGCCACCUCUUAUCUAUCAUCUAUCUACUGUCUAAAUAUGCCCAAAUAUAACACUUUUUAUUAAUAAGUUAGACUUUCAACCAAUGAGUGGAGUGUAAAUAAUGUCACAUAACUUCUAAGGUUAUCAUAUCAAAGGCUAUGGAGGCUUUUUGCUUUGAUAGCAACAAUAUUGAAGCUCUCAGUGUGAGAGGCUGAUGUGUGGAGAGACACAGGCAGGUGCCCUGGUUGAGUGUCUCAGGUAAAGGUGUUCUUUAGCUCAAGUAACCAUCUUAGAAAUGGAUGGUUACUCAUCAUAUAAGCCCACCUCAGGUGGGUUCCAGACAGCAAAGAUCAGGGCUGAGCUGUCUACACUGUAUUCUAUCUGAUUUCUUGAUCCACAGCUCCUUUGAAUACUAUAAAAAUGUUGUUGUAUGCUACUAAGUUUGGGGUGGGUUUGCUAGCUGGAAACAGAAAUCUUACUUCAACUUCAUCACAUCUCC